rnacentral:lncRNA from 1 species
CACAUAACACUCAGACGGAGAAAGAAGAUAAUUUUUCUCAUGGGUUGGUGAUUUUUUUUAUUAUAAAAUCAUUCUACAUGGCAUAUAUAUCAUAUACAUCUUAUUAUUUAUUUUACUUGUAUAUCUACAUAAUGUAUAUGCAUGUCGCGAGCAGAAGCAACCUACCCGGCACCGUUUUCUUCAUUGCUUAUAGCAUCUCAAAGAGUUAAAAAUGGGGAAAUGCAAGAUGAUUGUGAAGUAAAAAAAUCAACUUCGCAUCACCAGAUCUAGCAGUACAAAGUGUGAAAUUGGUGUUGAAUCGCGAUGUAUAGUGAAGGAACAAAGAAAAUAAAUAUAAAGCAACUUUUCCUGUGUCACCUAUGCCUGUAACAGCAUCCAUUUCUUCAUUGCAAUGGGCAUCUGAACGAAAUAUGAGCUUACUAUACUGUUCUUGGUUUUUUGGUUGUCAGUAAAUUUUUAUUUUUUCUAUGCGUAAUUUGAAGAUAACUGUAAAGUUUAUUUUAAGCUUGGCUUACAAACAAAAGUGUUUAGUUUCAAGUUACCUUAUAAGCGACGUGUAAAACAAUCACACCUCUUGCAUUUUCAUAAUCAGCUAUUCGUGACAUUGACAAUAUGUACCUUUCAAGAAUUAUCCAUAACAAUGUAGAAUUCUUACUUCAACCCUUCAUGACAGUCAUGUUCUGGAGGUUAAUAGAAUUAAUGACGCCAGCAAACAAGUUUAUCCCCGCCACAUUCUGUGUGUGUAUAGAGUCCAAAUUAGGAGCCUGUAUUCAGCCGAUGGUUGUUGCUGUAUAUCAUAUUUGUUUUUCGUUUCUUGUUUUGUUCUUAUAUCAGGUCGUUAGUUUUCUCGUUUGAUUUUAUUUUUUACAUUUUUCAUUUUGGGGCCUUUUAUAGCUUACUAUGCGUUAUGGAUUUUUCUCAUUGUUAUAGGCCGUACGAUGGCCUAUAAUUGUUAACUUAUAUGGUCUCUAGUAGAUAGUUGUCUAAUUGGCAAUCAGUAAUGUUCAAGUUUUACAUGUAAUAAGUUAAAGCCCUUUCUACAUAAGAAAAUGCCUGUACCAAGUCAGGAAUAUGACAGUUGUUAUCCAUUCGUUUGAUGUGUUUGGGCUUAUGAUUUUGCCAUUUGAUUAGGGACUUUCUUUUUUUAAUUUUCCUCGGAGUUCAGUAUUUAAAUGUGAUUUUACUUUUUUCAAUAGCUUCAAAAUUUGGUGAUAAAGUGUCGGAAAUUGAACAUGGUGAGAUCAUCCCUAUUCAAUAGUACCGCAUAUCACUUUCAAUGUAACCAACUCCUGCAGUUUGAGAAUUUAUUGUACAUGUUGACUUUGCAAUUGUUUGUGCCUCUGAACUCAUAAUUGUGGCACAUAAGUAGUACUGAUGCAUUUUGAUCUUGAGAGAAGCUAGAUACAUCACGUAAGACAAGUAUCUUAUUUUUAGCGUGUUUAACAUGCAGAGAGUUCUAUUUCAGUCAGUGUGUGCUGGUACGUGAAAAUUCUUGUUUUCCAACGUAACUGUUUAUAGCCGGUCAGUAAUGGUGGCGUUGCAUCAAUUUUUCUACAAUUUCUGUAUCAAAUUAAUUAAUCGGUCAAAAUAUGACACUUUAUUGAAAAUUCAUUACAAGUAAAUGUUUUUAAAGGUUCACUCUAAAUGUACAAUAAAUAUACAAGUAAUUGUAUAAACGGCUUGCCUUGUACACAGACUACCCGGAAUUGAAAGAUAUGUAA